GGUGCAGUGGUGGAGACACACAGUGCAGUACCGUAUGCCGUCAUAGGGGGCGUCCUCGCCCUUCUGGUUUUCACAGUCAUCUGUGUCCUCAUCGUCACCAUCUGGUGCUCUGUCCGACAAAAAGGCUCGUACCGUACCAGAGAGCCUAUCCUCGCCUGGUAUUGACUUAAUAAUAAUCAGUGAACUAAUGAAUUAAUCCACCACAGGCUCCUAUCUCACCCAUGAGGCCAGCGGUCUGGACGAGCAUGGCGAGGUGCAAGAGGCCUUCCUCAACGGGAACGACGCCACCCAGGGGAAGAAGGAAUACCUGCUGUAGCACCUCUUAUAUCUCUUCCUCUCCUCUUCCCUUAUCUCCUCUUCCCUCGUCCCCUCUCUUCCCUCUCCUCCCCCCCUCCUCGAUUCUGUCCAGUCGAAAACACACAAAUACACAAACAGACACACAAACAAACACACAAACACAACAAAUGGCCAUAAGAGGCAGCCUUCUGAAAAACGACUGUGCUACACAGCUACAGUCAAUCCAUACCUCUCCAUUCCAGCCCACAGCCUUUACUCAAUGUCACCCAGGGAAACGGAGACAGAGAGAGAGAAAGAGCAAGAGAGAGAGAGAGAGAGAGAGAGAGAGAGAGAGAGAGAGAGAGAGAGAGAGAGAGAGAGAGAGAGAGAGAGAGAGAGAGAGAGAGAGCACGAAAGGGAGGGAGAGAGGGGAGGGGUACAAAUAGAGAAGAGGAGUGAGAGUAGGUCAAUGAAAUGGAGGAAUGAAAUGAUACUGUAAUUAUUUUGAAAGAGCGGCAGCGCGGGAGCACAAAGACCCACUGCCUGCGGUGGCAUUCAUCUGGAAGGGGAGUUAGAGGCAGAUGACUACCAUCAUUCUCCGCCCUGCAAAGAAAAUUACCCUCGUUCUUUUUAGAGACCCAUCUUUAACUGGACGAGGGAGGUUAGGGAGAGAGUGAGG